GCCACUGCCAUACCACCCUGAACGUGCCCGAUCUGGUCUGAUAUCAAAAGCUAAGAAGGGUCCGGCCUGGUUAACACGUGGAUAGGAGACCGCCUGGGAAUACCGGGUCCUGUAGGCU
ensembl:rRNA 5S_rRNA 5S ribosomal RNA